rnacentral:rRNA from 1 species
GAUGAACGCUAGCGGCAGGCCUAAUACAUGCAAGCUGAACGGUAAGUUUUGUAGCAAUACGAGACCUAGAGUAGCGUAAGGGUGCGUAACACGUAUGCAAUCUGCCCUGUACAGAGGGAUAGCUCCCCGAAAGGGGAAUUAAUACUUCGUAAGAUAAUUGGCCGGCAUCGGUUGAUUAUGAAAGCUGAGGCGGUACAGGAUGAGCAUGCGUCUGAUUAGCUAGUUGGUAGUGUAAAGGACUACCAAGGCGAUGAUCAGUAGGGGAACUGA